GGACUACCCGGGUUUCUAAUCCUGUUUGCUCCCCACGCUUUCGUGCAUGAACGUCAGAAAUGGACCAAGAAGCUGCCUUCGCCAUCGGUGUUCCUCUCGAGAUCUACGCAUUUUACCGCUACUCCGAGAAUUCCACUUCUCUCUUCCAUCCUCUAGCUCGCCAGUAUCUACUGCUGGUUCCCAGUUGAGCUGGGAAAUUUAACAGUUGACUUAACGUGCCGUCUGCGCACCCUUUACACCCAAUCAAUCCGAAUAACGCUCGCACCCUUCGUAUUACCGCGGCUGCUGGCAC
rnacentral:rRNA from 1 species